rnacentral:misc_RNA from 1 species
GAUGAAGAACGUAGUGAAAUGCGAUAAGUAGUGUGAAUUGCAGAAUUCAGUGAAUCAUCGAAUCUUUGAACGCACAUUGCGCCCGGUAGUAUUCUGCCGGGCAUGCCUGUUCGAGCGUCAUUUCAACCAUCAAGCCCCAGCGCUUGUGUUGGGGGCCUGCGGCUGCCGCAGCCCCCUAAAAGCAGUGGCGGGCUCGCUAUCACACCGAGUGCAGUAGUUCAUCUUCUCUCCGGUCUUGUGAGGCGGGUUCCGGCCGUGAAACACCCCACUACAUUCAAGGUUGACCUCGGAUCAGGUAGGAAUACCCGCUGAACUUAAGCAUAUCAAUAAGCGGAGGA